rnacentral:rRNA from 1 species
CCAAUCAAACUCGGUGAUAGCUGGUUCUCCCCGAAAUGCAUUUAGGUGCAGCGUCACGUGUUUCUUACCGGAGGUAGAGCUACUGGAUAGCCGAUGGGCCCCACCAGGUUACUGACGUUAGCCAAACUCCGAAUGCCGGUAAGUGAGAGCGUGGCAGUGAGACUGCGGGGGAUAAGCUCCGUAGUCGAGAGGGAAACAGCCCAGAUCACCAGCUAAGGUCCCUAAGCGUGUGCUAAGUGGGAAAGGAUGUGGAGUUGCAUUGACAACCAGGAGGUUGGCUUAGAAGCAGCCACCCUUUAAAGAGUGCGUAAUAGCUCACUGGUCAAGUGAUUCCGCGCCGACAAUGUAGCGGGGCUCAAGCACACCACCGAAGCUGUGGCAUUGACACAUUGCCCGGCCGUGAUGUCUGAGGACUCACGGUCCAAGCGUGUUGAUGGGUAGGGGAGCGUCGUGUGGCCAGGGAAGCGGCGGAGUGAUCCAGCCGUGGAGGCCACACGAGUGAGAAUGCAGGCAUGAGUAGCGAAAGACGGGCGAGAAACCCGUCCGCCGAAUAACCAAGGGUUCCAGGGUCAAGCUAAUCUGCCCUGGGUAAGUCGGGACCUAAGGCGAGGCCGACAGGCGUAGUCGAUGGACAUCCGGUUGAUAUUCCGGAACCGGCGAAGAACCGCCCAUACCGAACCACGUAAUGCUAAGCGCCUGAAGUGUGGCACCGUCUUCGGAUGGUUCCUCAUGGAGCGCGCGACCCUAGCGAGUAGUAGGUAAGCAAUGGAGAGACGCAGGAAGGUAGCCGAACCGCGGCGAUGGUUGUUCCGCGGGUAAGGGUGUAGGGCGAGGUGUAGGCAAAUCCGCACCUCAUGUGCCUGAGACCUGACACGGACCCGUAAGGGGAAGUCGGUGAUCCUAUGCUGCCAAGAAAAUCUUCUAGCGAGGUUCUAGCCGCCCGUACCCCAAACCGACUCAGGUGGUUAGGUAGAGAAUACCAAGGCGAUCGAGUGAAUCGUGGUUAAGGAAUUCGGCAAAAUACCCCCGUAACUUCGGGAGAAGGGGGGCCCAGAGGGUGACGGGACUUGCUCCCCGAGCCUGAACGGCCGCAGAGACCAGGGAGAAGCGACUGUUUACUAAAAACACAGGUCCGUGCCAAGUCGCAAGACGAUGUAUACGGACUGACGCCUGCCCGGUGCUGGAAGGUUAAGAGGACCGGUUAGCCGCAAGGCGAAGCUGAGAAUUUAAGCCCCAGUAAACGGCGGUGGUAACUAUAACCAUCCUAAGGUAGCGAAAUUCCUUGUCGGGUAAGUUCCGACCUGCACGAAUGGCGU